ACGGAGGGUGCAAGCGUUGUUCGGAAUCACUGGGCGUAAAGGGCGCGUAGGUGGUUUGAUAAGUCAGAUGUGAAAGCCCACGGCUUAACUGUGGUAGUGCAUUUGAAACUGUCAGACUUGAGUAUCAGAGGGGAAAGUGGAAUUCCCGGUGUAGAGGUGAAAUUCGUAGAUAUCGGGAGGAAUACCGGUGGCGAAGGCGACCUUCAGGAAGAAUACUGAUGCUGAGGCGCGAUAGCUGGGGGAGCGAAGAU
rnacentral:rRNA from 1 species